rnacentral:rRNA from 1 species
AGAGUUUGAUCAUGGCUCAGAUCAACGCUGGCGGCGCGCUUAACACAUGCAAGUCGCACGAGAAAGCGGGAGCAAUCCCGCAAGUACAGUGGCGUACGGGUGAGUAACACGUGGGUGAUCUACCCUUUAGUGGGGAAUAACGCUGGGAAACCGGCGCUAAUACCGCAUAAGCUCGAGAGAGGAAAGCAGCAAUGCGCUGAAGGAGGAGCCCGCGGCCGAUUAGCUAGUUGGGAGGGUAAAAGCCUACCAAGGCAUAGAUCGGUAGCCGGCCUGAGAGGGCACACGGCCACACUGGCACUGAAACACGGGCCAGACUCCUACGGGAGGCAGCAGUGGGGAAUCUUGCACAAUGGGGGAAACCCUGAUGCAGCGACGCCGCGUGAGCGAUGAAGCCCUUCGGGGUGUAAAGCUCUUUCGUCAGGGACGAUAAUGACGGUACCUGGAGAAGCAGCUGCGGCUAACUACGUGCCAGCAGCCGCGGUAAUACGUAGGCAGCGAGCGUUGUUCGGAGUUACUGGGCGUAAAGGGUGUGUAGGCGGUUUUCUAAGUUUGGUGUGAAAUCUCCCGGCUCAACCGGGAGGGUGCGCCGAAAACUGGGAGACUAGAGUGCGGGAUGGGAGAGUAGAAUUCCUGGUGUAGCGGUGAAAUGCGUAGAUAUCAGGAGGAAUACCGGUGGUGUAGACGGCUCUCUGGACCGCCACUGACGCUGAGACACGAAAGCGUGGGUAGCAAACAGGAUUAGAUACCCUAGUAGUCC